UCCGCAGGUGGCCCUGUAAGUCUGUCGUUAAAACGUGGAGCUUAACUCCAUUUAAGCGAUGGAAACUACAGGGCUAGAGUGUGGUAGGGGCAGAGGGAAUUCCCGGUGUAGCGGUGAAAUGCGUAGAUAUCGGGAAGAACACCAGUGGCGAAGGCGCUCUACUGGGCCAUCACUGACACUCAUGGACGAAAGCCAGGGGAGCGGAAAG
rnacentral:rRNA from 1 species